rnacentral:misc_RNA from 1 species
UACAAGUUUUCUUGCAAUGGGAUCAUAAUACGAGAUAUCAAAUGCUUUCUUAUCUUAACCCACUUUUCACCCAACCAAACAAAGAAAAACAAACUCUCCCUCCUACUCUUGCCUCUAUCUUGCCUCUAUCAUCCCUUUCAUUCUCUCUCCAAUAAAAUUACAAAGUAGUAAAGAAGAACAACAUAGGAGUAGAUAUUUAAUACUAAGACAUGAGCCAACAUCAUUAAACUUUCUUGUAAGAAAUCUUAAGGCAUUUACAUGAGCCGACAUGAACUUAACUAACUAGAAAGAAGAAGAGUAGGAACUUACCAGCAUGCUUACUGAUGGGGUAUUUGUAGUUUGUCAAAAAGAAAACUAUAUAAUGAAAUUUAUAAUUGGAGCAUAUCAUCAACAAAUAAGAUCAGAUAUUCUAGGAUAAAAAGAGACGAGGAAACAAGUACUAGGUGAAUUUGGUAAGCUAGGAGCAGACAUGAAAUGGUGAUAAAAGUUUCCAAGAUCCAUAUACCUAAGCUGCUGAUGUACCUUGCCUUAAUUUCAUAUAAAGCACAACUACAAUCUUUUGUCUAAAAUUUUAGUGAAUCUGACAACUAGGCUUAUUAACUUCAGCCUAGCACUAGGGAGUUCUCACAAGAAACAAUGCACAACCAAUACAGUAUGUUAUGGUGCCUUCUAUAGUUAUUUGGUUUCAUACAAAAUAUAAUUACUUUGUUACGAAAAAUAAGAUAAUUUAACAUAAAAUUAUAACUUCUCUCAUGAGAUAUUCAUAAAAUAAUUAUUUUUUCUGUAAAGUAAUUAAUUAUGAAAAUUUUAUUAGCUUAAUAAAAAAAAAUAAAGUUUCCUCAUACAAAAAAGCACAUUUAAAAAUAUUAUAUGGUAAAUUUUAUUAAAAAAUUAUAGGAACAGGUUUAGAAUUUAUUAAAUAUUAUUUACUAGAUUUUUAAAAAAUAUUAUAUAUGUUUUUUAAUGAAGAAACUUUUUUUCUGUUAAAGUUAAUAAAGUAAAAAAGAAUCAAGUAACCAUAGAAUACAUAGUAUGUUAUAUAUCCAGUAAGAUAAAGUCUCUUCCAUACAUUAGUAGAAAUAAAAUCUCAGUAUUGGGUACUUCCAUACAGCUUAGUGAACUGCUUAUAGUCCUCUAGAAUAUCAAACCAUUAUGGAACCAAUCAAGCAUGCCAAAGUAUUCAAAUUGCAAUUUUUGGAGCAUGUUUCCAGUCAUUAAGCAGCAAAGUAAAAAUUAAAAACUAAAUUUUAAAUCCAUUUCACACCCAAUAGCGAAAUACCAAAAUAGCACAAAUCAUUCAUUUCGUCAAAAACCAAGAACAAAAAUUUAAAGAAAAGAAAAAAGUCAUGUAAGCAAUCGACUAUAACGGUGGAUUUCUUUUCAUUUUUUUCUUAAUUACCGGGAAAGUACUUUCCAACGAUGCGCACUAUGCGGUUUCCAGAUUUAUCAGAGCCCUCGAGGCGAAAGAAUUGCAAGAGAUCUAGAUCGGAGAAAUCUUCAUCGGACAAGAGAUACUGAGAGCAAUCGUGCCAGCUUUCAGGUUCUUGAUCUUCUUCUUCUUUGAUAUCUCUUUCUCGAUUCGUCAGAAAGGGCGUGGCAUCUAUCCCUAAAUCCGACGCCAGCACCAGAACUGAGAAAUCAUCCGUCGGCGUAGAUGAGCUCGCCAUUUUACUGUUGUUCGCUUGGGCGGUGGCUGAGGAUAUGGGUCGGAGAAGGAGGGGGGAUUGGUCCGAUUGGAUACGCGAGCGUGCUCCUGCUGCGCACACGUGAUACAUGGAUUAACAACAAUAUAUUGGAUCCUAUGGCGCAAACAAGUCAG